GUUCCUGCAGCUUUGCCUUCUUCUUAUCCCAUGAAGCUUCCUCACAUCUGCCCCCCGACUUGUGCGAGGACCCUGGAGUCCUGGGUCAUCUAUGCCCCUUAUGGCCCAGGACCCUAGAGUCUGUGCCCCCACUGCUUUUUGGAACCAUGAAAUCAGCC